rnacentral:rRNA from 1 species
UACGAAGGGUGGCAAGCGUUAAUCGGAAUUACUGGGCGUAAAGCGUGCGCAGGCGGUUAUUUAAGUCAGGUGUGAAAGCCCUGGGCUUAACCUAGGAAUUGCGCUUGAGUACUGGAUAGCUUGGAGUGCGGCAGAGGGUAGGUGGAAUUCCGACGUGUAGCAGUGAAAUGCGUAGAGAUGAUGGAGGAACACCGAUGGCGAAGGCAGCCUCCUGGGCCAGCACUGGACGCUCAGUGCACGAAAGCGUGGGGAGCAAACAGGA